UUCCUUGAACAGUGUGCACUUGAGGAACGAAUUAAGACCCGUAAACAAGGAUGAAAGCCCCCGCCCCGCAGACUUCAGCUCCUCCUCCAUGAAGGACGCCGCCUGGGAGGUGAGUCCAGGCCGGGCCAGGGAGGGCCUCCUGUGGGAAGGUGCAUUUUCACCUUACAGCCGGGAAGUAGACAGCUGCGUCACAGUUUCACUCAUGCCGGUCUCUUCCUGUGCACAUUCAAUGUUAACAUUAUUCUGGCAAAAGCCUUGCUGCAGAUAGUCUCUCCGGUCCCUCCUACAUCUCUUUCCAGAAGACAGUUUAAAAGGACACAUUUCAUCACCUCUCAGAAGGGGUUAACAUCACAGAAUUCCAAGUCUGAGGGUGGAGCCCUGAUCCUGAGAAGGUUUUGUUGAGUUCGGGACAGUAUUUCUUUACCCAUCCUUCAUGAAGAUAAAAAAUGAGGCAAAAUAGACACUAAAAUGGUCUCUGACAUCUCCUCAUGCCACCAGACAAGGAGUAACCAUGGUAACAAGAAGCCUAGAAAAAUUGGGGAAUGAGGAAGACCAGGAAUGAGAGCUCCCCUCAGCCCUGGGGGGACCUGAGUGUCCACAGCUGAGCCUUCUCUGCUUCCCUUUUCUCUUCUGGAUUCUGAUGGAGGAUAUUUUCAUCUUCCUCCCAAAAUCAUCAGAAAGCAUAAGGACAUAUAUAAACCGCUUUGCAAAAAGAGAGUGUAUGGAAUAAAAGAGAAAAUGAAGAAGAGGAGAAAGGCUGGAGUGCAAUGGUGUGAUCUCAGCUCACUGCAGCCUCAACCUCCCUGGCUCAGGUGAUUCUCCCACCUCAGCUUCCUGAUUAACUGGGAUUACAGUAAUGGUGAAAUUGCCGGUAAUCGCUAAGUAAAAACCACUGAAGAACAGGACAGAAGCCAAUGACCACCUCACCUCCACCGAGUGCCCUGCAGAAAAAGGAAAUGGAAAUCCUUCCUGUUAUUCUCCGCGUCCCUUCGUAGAAGGCUGCCUGAGAGGUCAGCACAGGAGUCCUCUAAGUGCCCUGCAGAGAACACGGGUCUCGGAGCCGGACAAACCUAAAUUUUGAAACCCACUUUGAGUUUGAACUUGGCUGUGGGAAAGUUACACAAUCGCUCUAAGCCUCUGUUUUCUCAUCAGUAAAACAGAGAGGGGUUGCUUGUGUGAGAAGUGGCCGCUGCCAAUCAUCUGCGUGUCCUUCACUCUCCCAGGGGCCAUGGGUCUGUAUUCUACACAUGUGGGAUCUUCCUCUGGACCCUUCGGACAUGGUCCACACGCUGCCCUCAGGAUCUGCUGGGGUCUGCAUGGGGGAAAGGAUGGUUUCCUUGAAGUCUAGAAAAUUUUGUUCCAGUCCAUUUCAACGGUGCAGGAGAAACGUGGCUUCCAUUCCGAGGAAGACGGCGACACCUAGUGACCGUUCCCUCGCGGUGCGAUGGCCUCACACCUGUGCGGCGGGUCGUCCGGGGCGUAGGGUGCUGCGGCCUUGCGGUCUUCCCUGCGCUGCAAGGCAGGGCAUGGUGGCAGAUUAACACCUGGAUGAACACGGGCAGGUCAGGAGACAAAUAAAACCCAGAGGUCUUUGAAACUUCAAAAUCCCGUAGGGUGUGUGACCCCAGUGAGCCCCACGCUACAUCCAGCGAGAACCGAGAAGUGAUGGUGCAGACAUUCUUGGGUCCCCCAGACAGAACACACCGGGAGUUACUGCCUCUUUCUCAUCCCGAGUCCUCCUGACUUUCCCCAGCACCCAUCGUGGCUGCAGCCAGGACACAGGUAAAUGUAAUUUCCCUCCCCUUCCAUCCUCGCUUUCACAUCGGUGUGAUUGACUGAGGGCCUGCAGACUCUCUCCACGUGCGGGUGCCCUGCAGCCUGACACACAAAUGCGUUCAUCCUUCCCCUUUAUCCUGACCCCGAACUAAUGACGCAGCUUCCUGAGACACAGAGGAUGCUUCUCCUCGUCCCCCCUCGCGCUCUGAAGUGGGAAAAGAUGUGUUCCAUCUGUUCUGGAAUUUUCACUGUAAAGAAGAGAAUGAAUUUUAACUGUGUUUUUGACAUAUCCCUAAACAAGAAGUGGUUUAUAGAGUGAAACCAUUUUCCCUUCAUCUAAAAUUUAAAAAAAAAAAAAAAGAGAGAGAAAAGUGCAAGACUGAAGAUGUGUGUUGAGCGGGGUGAGGAAGCGUGGGGGACUCGGCGCUGGAGGAGCCCCGGGUGUGUUUAGGGUUUGUGGUCAGGGGCCCUGGGCACCAGGUCCAGUCUGAAGCACCCGGGGGGAUGGACGAUGUUUGUGUAAGAGAGGGACAAAGGGAUGGCAGGGUGGCCAAGCAGAGACGCGAUUCCCUCUGUGCCCUUCCUGGACCAGCUUUGUAUUCUAACAGCAACGUCUCUGUUCUUGGGAAGAGCUCCUCGGUGAUUACCUGCCCGCCCCUUGUCUCCUCUUAUUCCCGCUGCCACAGGGCAGGGCCGCCCAGCUCCAGCUCAGACACACACCUGCUCCAACUGCUGUGCUGGUCACAGGCCCAGAGCACCACGUGUCCUCUGGGGUCUGUGUGGUCGGCGCCGUGCGUGGGACCACUGUGAGUGACCCUCCUCUUGUGUCACAGAGCCACUGUACCCGUGUGCACCUGUGCUCUGAGACCUGGAUACCCCUGGAAGGACAGACACCGAGGACCCGAGUGCACUGGAGUCCCGCUCCCACAGAUCCUGCUGCUGGGAGAACUGUCAGCCAGGAACGGGACUGCGGUGGGGAAUUCCUUCUGUCAACACACUUUCUAAUCUAAGCUCCAGACUCCACUUCCAGACUAGCACAGGCUUUUUCCCCCACAUCUCCUUCUCUGCAGCCGGGGCUCCUGCCGGGUCUGCGGAGCCCAGAGCCAUGCUCUCUGCCGACUCCAUCUCCAGAUGCCUGCCCCGGCACCCACGCUGUUGCCAGGACACCAGUGAACCCAGACAGGGUGAGCAGGUUGCAGCAGGGUACCGGGAGGAAUGCCCGGCUGGCCCAUGUCUUGAAAUCAGUCUCAUUGAACAAUCCGGGAAAGAGAUGACCUAGCCUAUUCUAAGGCUAUCGAUGUGAAUUGGAUUCUUCCAUUUCCCCUGAAUUCUCUGAUUAAAAUGAUAAUUAUGCAAUA
rnacentral:lncRNA from 1 species